rnacentral:tRNA from 1 species
CAGAGAGUAGUUUAUAUAAAAUAAUAAUUUUGGAGAUUAUAGAUAGACAUUUGUUUUUCUUUGA